rnacentral:rRNA from 1 species
UACGUAGGGGGCAAGCGUUGUCCGGAUUCAUUGGGCGUAAAGAGCGUGUAGGCGGCUUGGUAGGUCCGCUGUGAAAACUCGAGGCUCAACCUCGAGAUGUCGGCGGAAACCACUUGGCUAGAGUCCGGAAGAGGAGAGUGGAAUUCCCGGUGUAGCGGUGAAAUGCGCAGAUAUCGGGAAGAACACCUAUGGCGAAGGCAGCUCUCUGGGACGGUACUGACGCUGAGACGCGAAAGCGUGGGGAGCGAACAGG